UAAAACUUUCAACAACGGAUCUCUUGGUUCUGGCAUCGAUGAAGAACGCAGCGAAAUGCGAUAAGUAAUGUGAAUUGCAGAAUUCAGUGAAUCAUCGAAUCUUUGAACGCACAUUGCGCCCCCUGGAAAUUCCGGAGGGCAUACCUGUUCGAGCGUCAUU
rnacentral:rRNA from 1 species